UACGGAGGGAGCUAGCGUUGUUCGGAAUUACUGGGCGUAAAGCGCGCGUAGGCGGCUUGCCAAGUUGGGGGUGAAAGCCCGGGGCUCAACCUCGGAAAUGCCUUCAAAACUGGCGAGCUAGAAUCCUGGAGAGGUGAGUGGAAUUCCUAGUGUAGAGGUGAAAUUCGUAGAUAUUAGGAAGAACACCAGUGGCGAAGGCGACUCACUGGCCAGGUAUUGACGCUGAGGUGCGAAAGCGUGGGGAGCAAACAGG
rnacentral:rRNA from 1 species